rnacentral:lncRNA from 1 species
GACAUGGUUGCAAGGGGAAGGACGAAAAACACUUCUUUGGCCAGUAUGCCGCAAUUUAUUAUCAUUUUGAUAUAACAGAAACAUAUACGCAAUAGAACGCUACUCAUACAGGUAAGACAAAGUAGAUUUGCUUAUAUUUUACAUGCACUUCGUAGUCCGAGAUUUCUCAGAUUUAGCCAUUCAUAAGGAAUAUUCUACUCAACUCGACAACUGUAUGUCUGUAAUGGUUUCAUAUAUAUAUAUUAUCAGAUGUCGAAUUUUUCUAUAGGAGACGAUUUGACUUGUGCCCGUCCGAGAUUACUCUGACGUCCUACGCUCAUGGGCCUAGCUUGUCUUGCAAAACAGCUGUUUGAAGUCCGAGCAAUCUCGGACGCAUUUCAGUGACUUGAUACGCCAGCCGGAUAAUAUAAUUCUGAUUACUUCCAGAGGGAAAAUUACAGGCUUAAAUGGUUAGGCAACAAUGAUUAAUGUCAGUCGCCAGAUUCUCCCAUGUCGUCGGGGAGGGAUGCACUUCGAUCCGUUUGUGGUAGCCAAUGGUGAUUCCAGAACUUUCUAUAAAUGGGAUUUGGGGGGAGGGGGCACUGACUGCCAUAACAAAGGGACCCGCUAAAGUCAUCUUUUAGUGUUUACCUGUAUAAUAAACCAAUUUUUUUCACACGAAAAAGGAGGGGGGGCUGGAUCCGCCUAUGGUAGCGAUGAGCCUCCAAGACAGACAUACUUUAAUAUGACUACAUGAGAGUUUUUACCAUUUUUUUUACAUCGAGUCUAUGAGAGAGAAAUUAUGACUGUAACAGUGCUUAGUGCCAAAUUACCAAAAAAACUUGAAGGAAGACUAUUUCUAUAUUAGGGUAGGUAUGGAAAUAGGAAAUACACAUAUAUAGACAAUAAUAGUGAAUUGACUUGACAUAUCAACGAUAUAAGGAAUAGUUAGAAACGGGAAAUGCGAGGCUGUGCCGAGCUAUUUCCCCGUUUCGGGCCGAACCUAUAUCGUUAUAUGUCAGUCAUGCACUAUUAUUGUCUUUAUACUGCAAUAAAGUAAAAAACAACAUUUCAGAUUGUUGUUAAUGCGUUUAGGUUAUUUAUUUGAUUUUAAAUAUUGGGUCCGAAAAUCCCCUUAAAAAGGCCCUCAGAUAUCUGAUGCUCGCGGAGAGAAUAUACAAACACAAUGAAAUGUACAAUUUUGAGUUGAAUUCCACACGCGAUGAACGAAAUCUUUGAGUAUGAGACUAAAUAUCAAUGCAUAAGCAUAAAACAUAAUGAUUAAUAGGUUGCAAACAAAAAAAUAAACAAAACUCAUACAAAUGAUAUAUGUUUUAUCCAAUAAUUGAAUGUAAAAGAAACAAGUUUGAUCGUUUUGAUACAUAACAGACAUAACAUUUACCGAUUUCAAAAUAAAUUUACUCUAAUAUAUAUACAUUUUGUACUUAGCUUACUGGCAGGAAUUAAUAAUAAUAGGUUACAUGUAUAGUUUUAUGGGUCAAGCUAGUCUUACAAAUAUGCCUCGGAGUCAUCUUUUCAUAAAUGAUUUUAAGCUGAUAUUUUCGUGAUUUAUUACUUUUUUUUUUAAAAGAAGCUCGGUGGAAGCUUGAUAAUAAAAGCAAUGCAUAUAUAUAGCAAAUUUGCAAAAUAAAUGAAAAGAAAAUACGAAAAUUAAGGAAAAUGUAAAUAUCGCUACAAGAGUUUUGUGUUCCAGGACUAGGCUAAAAAAAAAAAACAACACACAAAUUCAAAAAAGCUGUUAACCGAAUACACCCUUAGAUGGGAAUUAAAUUUCACGAAAGUCGCUAAAUACAUGUAGGAUGUAUUUCUAAAAAAAAAAACACUUUUCUCCCUUUCAUAAUGUACAGUAUAGACCUGGAUGUUGUUCCAUAAAAAAAUCAAUUGAACUAGUGGUUCAUAUGUCAAAUGUUUGUGUUUUGAAUAGUAACAACAGGCAUAUAUUGGUGUGGAAAACUUAAUUUAAAAGAAGUUUAAAUGAAGGUUUUCUUCGAAUAAUAAUGCGUUUUUCGUUCCCUAGUGGUGUGAUGUUACAACGAAAAUUUAUUGUUGAUAAUAUUUCAUAUAAUUAUUUAUUUCUCUUUUCAGCAUUUGUAAAGAAGUGGCUUCACCUUUCUGGUUACUAUUCAUGUGUUGUGUAUUAAUGUAUCGCAACACUUUAUAGUUAUUGGACAGGUUAAACUCAGACGACGAAUCAUCCAAACAGCACCAGAUCUUUUGUGAUUCCAGCUGAUUUCAGAUCACUAGC